rnacentral:tRNA from 1 species
GCUCCCAUGGCGUAGUGGUCACUGCACUCGCCUUUCACGCGGGAGACCCGGGUUCGAUUCCCGGCGGGGUCA